CCUACGGGUGGCAGCAGUGAGGAAUAUUGGUCAAUGGACGCAAGUCUGAACCAGCCAAGUCGCGUGAAGGAUGAAGGAUCUAUGGUUUGUACACUUCUUUUAUAUGGGAAUAAAAUGAGGAUCGUGUUCCUUGUUUUAUAUACCAUAUGAAUAAGCAUCGGCUAACUCCGUGCCAGCAGCCGCGGUAAUACGGAGGAUGCGCGGGUUAUCCGGAUUUAUUGGGGUUAAAGGGUGCGUAGGUGGUUAAUUAAGUCAGCGGUGAAAGUUUGUGGCUCAACCAUAAAAUUGCAGUUGAAACUGGUUGACUUGAGUAUACUCGAGGUAGGCGGAAUGCGUGGUGUAGCGGUGAAAUGCAUAGAUAUCACGAAGAACUCCGAUCGCGAAGGCAGCUGACUAAACUACAACUGACACUGAAGCACGAAAGCGUGGGGAUCAAACAGGAUUAGAUACCCGAGUAGUC
rnacentral:rRNA from 1 species